UAUGAGUAAAGGUGAAAAUCACCUUAGAACUCCCAGGCAGUAAACACAAAGUGGGCCAAAGUUGGUCUUUAUAAGUGUAUUGCACUUAUAAUCACUUUUCUUUCAUACUCCAAGUCAAAUGAAUUUAAGGAAGAGGGGAGGAGUAUAUGUCACUGACUACUAAAAAAAGGCGGAUCCAAUAUUGGUCCUACGAAGAGCUAUUUCCAGGCAAUACUACUCAUUCUAAAUAGAAAUAUUUUAGAACUCUCUUUGAGUUCUUUCAACUGGUUCACGACCAAGCUCAAUUCCUAGUAUUUUAAGGUAAAUUCCUACAACUAUUAGUGUUAAUCUAAGUUAGAUAACACUUAUACUAAUGCCAAAAUAUAUUGGGAUUAUCUAGAUUCUAACAAGACCAUCAAGAACUUCCACAAGAACUCAAGUCAAGGAUUUGUUUGAAAGAGGUAAUUUCCUUACCCCAUCUCUGGAUAUAAUCAUGGAUUGAGUAUCUUGAAGGUGUUGUGAAGUGAAAAUUACUACUUGUGUUGAGGAUUUAUGCAAAGUCUUAAAGUGGGUAAUGUUCAGACUAGGGCUAAAUUAGGGAAGAAGAUGAAUAGUGAAAUUUAAGGGAAAUUUUGAGUUGAAUAAUUAUUCCACCAAUUUCAAUAGCUUAAUUAGCGCCAUAAAACGAAUUAUUGGACAUGGCUUAUCGAUUAAACGAAGGAAUGAAAUUUUGGGUGGCUUCUAGCUAGCUUUGGCUACUAAAUGGAUUAUGUUGGAUUCUUGUGAGUAUGAAUUGAUGUCAAAUAGUGAUAGAUUGAAUGCGUUUGGGACGUCGUUAAGUACGUGGAGAUUACGUUAGAAUUUUAGAGGCUAACUUGAGGUAUGCUGAGCCUUAAGCUAUAUUGUGUAUUUUUUUAAGACUUUAUGUCUUGAUAGAAUAAAAUGCAUAAGCUUCACCUGUACGUGUGGGACAAGCUUGCAUGACUUGCUCCGUGACUCAAGUAAUAAAAAACUUGGCAUAAAAUUUCUAAGAGUUGGAAAUACUAACAAGUUUGGUAUAAUUUUUUUUAUGGACUGAAUAACUUGUCUUUAGUGCAUUGCGACAUUCGGAUAUUUUCUUUAUUUUAUUAUCGACAUAAAUUCAUGGCUCACUUUAGGAUGAUGGGACAGAAUUCUCCUUCUCGAUUUUUAUUGAUGUAACAAAUAGAAACACUUGAAUUAAUGAUCGAAAGUUUGGUUACCGAGUCAUGGGUGACAAUAAAUUAAUUGAUUAUUAUAUACUUAAAACAUAGACGGAAGGGCUAUGUAUCCUUUGAUUGGGUCAUUGAAACAUAGACAUAAGGCCUAAGUAAUCUAUUGUCAUAUACCUGAAAAGACAGACGGAAGGGCUAUGUACUAUAUUAUUAUACACAUGAAACACAGACAUAAGGAUUGCGUACUAUACCAACGAUAUUCUGAAACAUAGGUGGAAAGAUUAUGUACCAUUCAGUUACUCGGUAAAAGUUAAUGGUUCUAAUUAUACCUUGAAAGAUUUAUGCUUACACUUGAUAUCUUUGAUAAGUUUAAUUAUUUAAAUUGAUUAAUCUCUCUUAUGCAUUUAAUAUUUUUAUUGCGCAUCUCUUGCCCCACCAUGAGUGAUUGGUUAUGAUGCAUAUCUGAGUAUUUCAAUACUCAGGCAUCCUUUAUUUAAUUGAUGUCAGCUUUGGCAGACGGUUGAGUGCAGGGCGGUCAGCGUACAAGGUAGAGUUCUUGCAUCUUCUUUUUUUUUUUGGUGAGCCCACAUUUGUACUCGUGGGACUACUCCAUUUCAGUUGUAUAUUUUGGUAUAGUGCGAGCUAUCCUCGUAGCUUUAUUAUCUCAUCCGUAGCGUCAUAAAGGCUCCAUAGAUGACUUGUAUUAUUUUUGGGUUAUGGGUACUUAUGAGAUCUUACGAAUGAUGUUUUAUUUCAUAUCUUGGUUUAUGGUUGGCCGCCCAAUUAUUCAUACGAUAUCCAUUUCACUUCC
rnacentral:lncRNA from 1 species